UACAGAGGUCUCAAGCGUUGUUCGGAUUCAUUGGGCGUAAAGCGCACGUAGGCGGAUCGCUAAGUCAGGGGUGAAAUCCUGGAGCUCAACUCCAGAACUGCCUUUGAUACUGGCAAUCUCGAGUCCGGGAGAGGUGAGUGGAACUGCGAGUGUAGAGGUGAAAUUCGUAGAUAUUCGCAAGAACACCAGUGGCGAAGGCGGCUCACUGGCCCGGUACUGACGCUGAGGUGCGAAAGCGUGGGGAGCAAACAGG
rnacentral:rRNA from 1 species